GAUGAACGCUAGCGGCAGGCUUAACACAUGCAAGUCGAGGGGCAACACGGGUAGCAAUACCUGGUGGCGACCGGCGCAAGGGUGCGUAACGCGUGAGCAACAUACCCUAUACAGGGGGAUAAUCCAGGGAAACUUGGUCUAAUAUCCCAUAGGAUUUACAGAUGUCAUCAUCUAUAAAUUAAAGCUUCGGUGGUAUAGGAUUGGCUCGCGUGACAUUAGCUAGAUGGUGGGGUAACGGCCUACCAUGGCCAUGACUGUCUAGGGGUUCUGAGAGGAAGACCCCCCACACUGGGACUGAGACACGGCCCAGACUCCUACGGGAGGCAGCAGUGAGGAAUAUUGGACAAUGGAUGGAAAUCUGAUCCAGCCAUGCCGCGUGCAGGAAGACGGCCCUAUGGGUUGUAAACUGCUUUUAUAUGGGAGCAAUAAGGUCUACGCGUAGACCGAUGAGAGUACCAUAUGAAUAAGCAUCGGCUAACUCCG
rnacentral:rRNA from 1 species